UACGUAGGGCGCAAGCGUUGUCCGGAAUUAUUGGGCGUAAAGAGCUCGUAGGCGGUUUGUCGCGUCUGCUGUGAAAACCUAAGGCUCAACCUUGGGCUUGCAGUGGGUACGGGCAGACUAGAGUGCGGUAGGGGGUGACUGGAAUUCCUGGUGUAGCGGUGGAAUGCGCAGAUAUCAGGAGGAACACCGAUGGCGAAGGCAGGUCACUGGGCCGCAACUGACGCUGGAGGAG
rnacentral:rRNA from 1 species